CCCAAUCUCUGCAACACAUAAUGCAGAAGAGGUUGCUGAGCACUUGGGGAGGCUGAAUUGCAGCUAUCAUCUGGUUUUGUGUCAUGGAGCAGCACUUUCCAUGCAGAGCCAUUGGCUUUGGGGAAUUCUCCAAAGGUCAUUUUUUCUACAUCAUCUCUUUGGAAAGGUUUAGUCUUGUGUAGGGGAAACAUGGCUGUAAUGGACAAGGACAGCACGGAGGGGUGAUGCUGCAGGAUGCAGGAGGCUUUGACUGGUACCAGCCUAGCAUCACUCAGCUGCUCUGCCCUCCAUAGGGUUGUUUUUCCCUACAUUAAAGGGCUUUGUGUGAAAUCUACAAAUUAGGCUGUGUCCUAGUGUGAAUUAUUUGAAGGAGGGAAGAGCAGUUUGUAAAAAGAGGCCUUGGCAUCUCCUCAACAGGCUGCUGUGUGGUCAGUAACUGUAGGAUGGUUCAGCUUGGGGGUACCUUGGGGCCCAACUUCCUGCUUGCAGCAGGGCCAGACCAGGCUGCUCAGGGAUGUGAUCAGCUGGCUUCUGAAAUCCUACAAGGAUGGAGCCUGCACAGCCUCUGUGGGCAACCUGCUGCGUGCAGUGGAAAAGUUUGACAUACAAUCUGAACCUCUUGAUGCUGCUUGCAUAUUGUCUCAUCUUUCCACCACGUACCAUGAUGAAGAACUAGCCCUAUCUCCUUCAUGGCUCCUGUAGGUACCAGGGGCUGCUGUUGGAUGCCUCCAGAGCUGUCCCUUCUCCAAGGUUCCCCAUCCUCCUCCCAGGACAAGUGCUCCAGCCCUGACUGUCCUGGUGGCCUCACCUGAACUUGCCCCAGUUGACCAAUGUCUAUUUUCUACUGGGAGAUUGGAUGCAGUAUUUGAUUGAUGGGCACCAUGUUCCCACUAGUGGGGAACAAUACCUCUCCGUAUUUCCUAGCUCUGCUCCUUCAGCUUGGUCUCUUUGCUGCCAGAAUCCACAGUGAGCCCCAGCACAGCUGGUUGUCCAUCAGGAAUCCAGGGCCUCUUCACAAAGCUGCUCCUCAGCCAACUGGUGCCCAGCUGCAUCACUGCAAUGAGUUAUUCCUUCCCAGGGCAGGACUCUGUGCUUAGUUUAAUUGAAAUUAAUGAGCUUUUAUUGUCUCUUUCCUUCAGACUGUCUGAAUGGAGCCCUUACUUGAGGGUAUUAACUGUUCCCUCCAACUCAGUGUCAUCUACAAGACUAAGAAAAGCUGGAGAACACGAAACCUGUGAAAAAUGACCUGGUCUGGUGAUUGGCAACCCUGCACGUAGCAGGGGGGUUGAAACUGGAUGACCAUUGUGGUCCUUUUCAACCCAAGCCAUUCUAUGAUUCUAUGAUUCUUCUCUGUUACAGAAGACUGUAGCUUGAACUAUUCUUAAAAGCUCUUCCUUUCUGAAGUAUAUGCAACAUUGAAAUAAGGCAGAGUGCCAUCUUUUCUGACUAGCUUCUGCUGACAGGACAAGGCAGGGCAGCCCUACGCUUCUCCACUCUCAGGACCCUGAUGUCCAGAAGUCGUAGUGAUGAGUUUUAGAAGUGCCCUUCAGUCAGCACAGUCUUGCUGUUGUGAUGAAAACAAACCCAGUAAUUUCUACAAGGGUCUGUGGACCAGCUUUAACAGUUAAGGAAAAACCUGUAAUGGAGAAGAAAAGCUGCCUAUGUCACCUCCUUGCAAGCAGCAAAGGAUUUAUUUUUGGAGGAUCAUAGAAGCAUAUAAAUGUUUGGGUUGGAAGGGACCUUGACUAUCAUCUAGUUCCAACCCCCUGAUGCAGGCAGGGACACAUCGCACUAGACUAGGAUGGUUCAUAUGUUCAAAUGAGUCUUUGAGAGAACUAUCUAUCACCAUUACUGUAUCACAGGUAUAAUACAACCAUUUAGUAAUUGAGGAAUUUGAACCAGAAUAAGUCCAGAGGGAUCUUAAUUACUUUUCUUCAGGAGGAAUACUAAGUCUUCUUGUGUUCUGUCGCUGCCCAAGUCAUUGAGUGGUGCUCCAGCUCUGCUCAGUGCUCCCAGGGAAGUUACCCAGUGCCUGUGGCCUCAUGCUGGGGGACUUUCAGGAAUGAUGGCAGGCAUGGUCCCAUGGACCGCUAUUUCCAGCACUGGUUCCUCAAGGACCCACGGCUUUGCUUCCACACCUGCAUAUGCAUCAGUUUGAUAGGAAGCAACCCAACCUCUUGCUGUGUCAGAUGUGUUCCUCCCAGCAUCCUGCAGAUCUGCUGCCCAAAGCUUUCCGGCUGAGACAGGCUCUGGUGGUGUAAAGCCAUAACACUUUGGUCCAAGGGCAGAAUGGUGCCCUCAGCUCUAUGAAGUGUGUAUGUAUGUGCAAACGUGCAUGGGAAAAAUAGGAUUCCUCCCAGAAAAAGAAAGGAGUGACGUUUUCCCUGGCAGCCUGCUGAUGUGUCUGACCUUGAAGACUGGGGUCCUCGGCUGCCCCUCGACGUUUUACUGUGUGACCCUAGAGAGUGGGAGAGGAAGCAAGGGAUGUUAUUUCCUUGCAAAGAGCAGCCCCUCUUCUCGAUUACCAUGAACAGGGCCACUAAAAAGGCCAGGCCCUUCUGGGUCAGGCUAGAGGAGAGUGGAGGCUCCCGCUUUUCCUCCCAGCAGAUGAAGUCAGCACUUGCUACGCAAACUAGACUAAUAAAUGUCGGAGCAGCGGGAGGUGAGUGCAAUCAAGUGCGAGAGCCUGAGUUAUAGCGGUAGUCUGCUGAAUUCCUGGGUCACAAAGUAAUUUACAGAACAACCCAAAUGUCAUUCAAUAAUUAUUCAGGCAGCCCGGAGCCCAGGGGGCACAGCCUCCUGCUGGGUGUAUUAUUAAUACCAUCAACAAGCAGCAGGAUGUUGGUGUGAAGAAAAGAACCACAACACGAGCGUGUGAACCUACAGAACAAAUGGAAACCAGUAUUAAUGGGAUAUUGUACUGCUCCCUAACGAGUGAAAAAUCUCUCUAUCUUGUCCUAGAAAGACGUUCAGCAAAAUCUGGGUGUUUCCACUUCUGACAGUGAAAUUGCUCUUGGUGGUUUGCAGCAGAAGGGAGGAAGAUUGGUGUGCUGGUGGCCGCCUGUUUGCAUCUCCCGGCCUCUGAGAUAGUCUCCAUGGAGACUGACGGGGGAGGUGGUUUCCAAGCACCCCAGAAUAAUUUAAAUUAAUAUCCAGUGGACAAUGUAAACCUUCUCUUUGACGUGGCGUGGGAAUAAGCGAUCACAACGCUCGAACUGGGUCAGCUGAGAAGGAAGGUGGUGCCCCAGCCCAGGGUGUGAUCAGUGCCAAGGGCUCAACCUCUGCUAUAUCCCUCCCUCUCGCCCCCAUCCUCCAAAACCCCCACAGUUGACUGCAAAGGUGCAGUGAGGAGGUAUAUGGGCAAAGUCUGAAGUGAACUGAGUCUGAAUCGUAGAAUGGAAUCAUAGAAUGGCUUGGGUUGGAAGGGACCUUAAAGUCUAUCCAGUUCCAACCCCCUGCCAUAGCAGGGACACCUCUCACCAAAUCAGACUGCCCAGGGCUCCAUCCAUGCACGUGGGAUAGAGGUUGUUUCUGGUGACUGGGAAGUGCCCUGGGCUCCUGGGCAUCGAGCACUCCUGGAGUAUUGCUGAGGUUGUUAUGGGAACAGUAGCAUCAACACUUUGACUUGGAAUAUGUGGACUCGGUAGUUCUCUUUGGUCCUUAAAAGUGCAGAAUGAGUAAAUGGAAACACUGACACAGGUUGCCCAGAGAGGCUGUGGAGUCUCCUCCUUGGAGACCUCCAAAAGCUGCCUGGGCACCACGCUCUGGGUGUCCCUGCUGGAGUGGGGGUUGGGCCAGAUGGACCCAGAGGUUCCUUUUAACCCUAACCAGUGUGGGAUUCUUGAAAUCUCAACAGAACUGUGCAGCAAAUUGAAGCUGGCCACGUAGAGCUGCCCAGACUGGGCCAGUUCAUCCUCCACUAGGAGAAUCUGUGAGGUAAUUAGACCAGAGAGCCCCAGAGGUCCAUCAGGAGAGCACUGAAUGUAUUCAGGGCACACAGGGAUAGGCAGUCCAGGAACAUAUGUGGAUAGAAUCUCUGUCUGGAAGUUGGGAACAUGAGAGCUCUGUCCUGCAGCCACAGAGAGCAGCCACAGCCUGAGAAGAAGCUCAGCCAUACAACCUGUUUGAGUGGACAGAAACGGCUCAGCUUUUCAUGGCCUUUUUCAAUGUUUGCCCAUUUUUCAAAGAUGUUUUUUUUUUUUUUUUUUUUGCUUUGCUUUUACUCUGCCUGUGUAGAGAUGAUGUACAGAGGACUCUGAUGAUGCUCCUAUACUCUGGGCCCUUCACCUUGCCAAUGGCUUGCCAACGCAUUGCUUGUGACACCCAUCGCCCGCACAUCUCCCUCCUUGACUUCCCCAUCCCAACACACAUCACAUCCAGAAGUCACUGCCAUUUUGUGCCUGUGCUGUUGGUGGGACCCAGGAAGAAGCAGCAAGGUAUACAUUUUUGUGGUGUUAGCACCUAAGAACAGGCUCACAAAAAACACCUUGAUUUUCCCCUUUGUGCUUAUGCACAGAUGUUGCUGCUGAUAUUCAGAAUCACUAAUUCAUACUCCCUGGACCCCCACUGAAAAAUAAAGCGUGUUUUAUCCUUGUUCCCCAAGUGCCCAAUACAAAUGCAAAUCAGCUCUGGGCGUAGAUGUUGGUUUGUUUUUUUCCUGGCUGCCCAUCAGCCUGGUGGGGCUUUUCUCACUUGUUUUGCUCAGUCCCUUCGUCCGUGUGUCUGUGGUGAGGGUCAGAGACCUGCUCCAUUCCCACACCUCUGCCCUCCUCCUGCUGCUGCCUGCUGCCUGGUUAAAGCCCCUCUGGUUAUUAACCCUUUAAAAGGUUUCCCUCUGCAACAGGGAAAGCUGAUGGGCUAAAAUCAAACUGGCAUCCACUCAAAUUUCCUAAAAUCAUCGUAUCAUAGAGUAUCCCAAGCUGGAAGGAUCAUUGAGUUCAGCUCCUGGCUCCACACAGGACCACCCAGAACCCGAACCUGAUGUGUGAGAGCGCUGUUCAAUGCUCCUUGGGCUCCGGCAGCUCGGGGCUGUGCCCACUGCCCUGGGCAGUCUAACCGUUUCCUGAUGCCCAGCCCAAACCUCACUGUGGUCAGGUGGGCCACUGAGAACACUGGGGUACUUUACACUAUUGCUUUGUUGCAUCUCUGCCAUGCAGGGUUUGGCUCCUGGACAAAAUUGGGUAGGAGGCCAUGGCAGUGGGUUGCAAGCCAAAGUCUGGAUGGAAGAAAGUGGCUCUGAACUUGUCUGUGUCUCCAUAUAGGUCAGCACUAUUCAAGUAAUAAAAUAGCUGAAUAGGAGACUCCUAAAUGCCCCCACAGAGCUCAGAGCUACCAGUGCUUGGCCAAAGUUGGUGUCCAGCCACCUAGUAAAUUCAUGCCCUAUUCAGACAGACACAGAUUCUCUGUGCUGCUUGGCUUUUUUGAAAUAAAUUAUUUGUAACUGUAUUUAAAGCUACAGCUGAAGAGACCCUGAUGCUGGUAUCAGAUGCACCCGGGAUCACUGCAAAGAGAAGUCACAACCAAAACCAGUCUGCAGCAUCCAGACAGCCCCAGUGAACCAGCAGACCUGUGCUGAACAUCUCUGCCUGUCAUGACCUGGCUUGGUGCCACCACAUCCUCCUGCAAUAGAAUACUGACUUAUUCCUGCAGUGAGCUCUGGCUAAGCAGGAUGGAAACCCUGGCAGUAGGGCCUGCCCCAUCCCACUUUGCAGGGCUCCACCAGGAGGUUCCCACAGACUUUCUGUCCCCGUGGCUCUGGCUGCGAGUUGAAGCCCAGUGCUGAGCUACAGUGUGAUGUGGGGCCUCAGGGUUGUCCUGAGUUGCCUGGGGUGAUAGAUGGACACUAGGAGCCACCAGACCCUGUGUGCCACCCUUUGCCCCCUUCUCAGCACAGAGCAUCCUGCUCUGCAGUGGAUGCCGCAGCUCAGCCACUUCCUAAGAAAGACCUCAGAGUUAAAAAAUCCAUUUGUGUGUGCUUCCUCUUUUUUUUUUUUUUUCUUUUCAUCUUCUUUCCUGCUGCUAUUCAGUUAGCAUGAAAUAACCCUCCAAAUCAAUCCGGAAGAGAUGGAUUGAAACUGUUGCUG
ensembl:lncRNA